AUCACUUUUUGGCCUUUUGGCUAAGAUCAAGUGUAGUAUCUGUUCUUAUAAGUUUAAUAUCUGAGAACAAUAUAUUAAAUGGAUUUUUGCACGUAGAAAAUGGUGGUUGCUUCAUGUACUGCAUGCACUGACCUGGUAUUGCAGUCCCUCCAGGAAUGGUGCAUUCCCC
ensembl:snRNA U2 U2 spliceosomal RNA